UCCAUGUCCCAUUAGCUUGUUGGUGAGGUAACGGCUCACCAAGGCUCCGAUGGGUAGCCGACCUGAGAGGGUGAUCGGCCACACUGGGACUGAGACACGGCCCAGACUCCUACGGGAGGCAGCAGUGGGGAAUUUUGCGCAAUGGGGGAAACCCUGACGCAGCGACGCCGCGUGGAGGAUGAAGACCCUUGGGUCGUAAACUCCUGUCAGGUGGGAAGAAAGACGUCUGUUGAAUAGACGGGCGUCAUGACUGUACCACCAGAGGAAGCCCCGGCUAACUCCGUGCCAGCAGCCGCGGUAAUACGGGGGGGGCGAGCGUUGUUCGGAAUUAUUGGGCGUAAAGGGCGUGUAGGCGGCCUGAUCAAGUCGGGUGUGAAAUCCCUCGGCUCAACCGAGGAAUUGCACCCGAUACUGGUUGGCUAGAGUCCGGGAGGGGGUAGCGGAAUUCCCAGUGUAGCGGUGAAAUGCGUAGANUAUUGNGGAAGAACNACCGGUGGCGAAGGCGGCUACCUGGACCGGAACUGACGCUGAGGCGCGAAAGCCAGGGGAGCGAAUGGGAANAGAUACCCCGGUAGUCCUGGCUGUAAACGAUGGGCACUUGGUGUGGCGGGUACUGACCCCUGCCGUGCCGAAGCUAACGCGUUAAGUGCCCCNGCCUGGGGAGUACGGUNCGCAAGGCUGAAACUCAAAGGAAUUGACGGGGGCCCGCACAAGCGGUGGAGCAUGUGGUUUAAUUCGAUGUAACGCGAAGAACCUUACCUGGGUUUAAAUCUGCGGUGACCGCCUCAGAGAUGAGGUUUCCCUUCGGGGCGCCGUGGAAGGUGCUGCACGGCUGUCGUCAGCUCGUGUCGUGAGAUGUUGGGUUAAGUCCCGCAACGAGCGCGACCCCUGCUCUUAGUUGCCAUCAUUUAGUUGGGCACUCUAAGAGGACUGCCCGGGAUAACCGGGAGGAAGGUGGGGAUGACGUCAAGUCCUCAUGGCCCUCAUCCCCAGCGCUACACACGUGCUACAAUGGUCGCUACAAAGGGUUGCGAAGCCGCGAGGUGGAGCGAAUCCC
rnacentral:rRNA from 1 species